GUAGUCCACGCCGUAAACGAUGAUUACUAGGUGUGGGGGGAUUGAACCCUUCCGUGCCGGAGUUAACACAAUAAGUAAUCCACCUGGGGAGUACGACCGCAAGGUUGAAACUCAAAGGAAUUGACGGGGGCCCGCACAAGCAGUGGAGUAUGUGGUUUAAUUCGACGCAACGCGAAGAACCUUACCAGGUCUUGACAUCGAGUGAAGAUACUAGAGAUAGUGUCGUCCCUUCGGGGACACAAAGACAGGUGGUGCAUGGUUGUCGUCAGCUCGUGUCGUGAGAUGUUGGGUUAAGUCCCGCAACGAGCGCAACCCUUAUGAUUAGUUGCUACAUUAAGUUGAGCACUCUAAUCAGACUGCCGUUGACAAAACGGA
rnacentral:rRNA from 1 species